UCCAAGAUGGCGGCAGCGAUGCCUCCCCGGCUGUUGGGGUGGCGGUGACGACAGGCAGCAAAAGACCAGGGUAGCACGGGAGACAGGCGAGGGACCUACCAUCUCCUGCUCCUCCUCUUCGUUUCCAACCACUUUCCUUCACUUCGCCUGCUGGGAAACCAGCUUCACCCUGAUCCUGAUCUCUGGCGGAUAAUGCCUCACAUCUCUGUACCCCCGGGACCCCCUGGAGCCCCCAUGAUCCCUAAGAAGACAGCUUGAACCUAGAAUUCCCCUCUCCCUCCCUAGAUCUCACCCCCAGGAUGUUGCGGAGGCUGCUGGAGCGGCCUUGCACGCUGGCCCUGCUUGUGGGCUCCCAGCUGGCUGUCAUGAUGUACCUGUCACUGGGGGGCUUCCGAAGUCUCAGUGCCCUAUUUGGCCGAGAUCAGGGGCCGACAUUUGACUAUUCUCACCCUCGUGAUGUCUACAGUAACCUCAGUCACCUGCCUGGGGCCCCAGGGGGUCCUCCAGCUCCUCAAGGUCUGCCCUACUGUCCAGAACGAUCUCCUCUCUUAG
rnacentral:sRNA from 1 species